rnacentral:tRNA from 1 species
CGGGGUGUAGCUCAGUGGUAGAGCACAUGCUUAGCAUGCAGGAGGUCCUGGGUGCAAGCCCCAGGACCUCCA